CGGAAAUCGACAUAAUAGUAUCAGAUUUGAAAUUAGUCUUUGAGAGUUCGUUUUCUGCGUAUUGCGGACGUAUUCGAAAUCUGCAGAUCGAAAUAGUGUGUUGUAUCUAUACAUCCUUCUACCAUGUCGCAGUUUGCUUUCGCGAAUGAUUU